rnacentral:rRNA from 1 species
CGAUGAUCCCAGCUUGCUGGGGGAUUAGUGGCGAACGGGUGAGUAACACGUGAGUAACCUGCCCUUAACUCUGGGAUAAGCCUGGGAAACUGGGUCUAAUACCGGAUAUGACUCCUCAUCGCAUGGUGGGGGGUGGAAAGCUUUAUUGUGGUUUUGGAUGGACUCGCGGCCUAUCAGCUUGUUGGUGAGGUAAUGGCUCACCAAGGCGACGACGGGUAGCCGGCCUGAGAGGGUGACCGGCCACACUGGGACUGAGACACGGCCCAGACUCCUACGGGAGGCAGCAGUGGGGAAUAUUGCACAAUGGGCGAAAGCCUGAUGCAGCGACGCCGCGUGAGGGAUGACGGCCUUCGGGUUGUAAACCUCUUUCAGUAGGGAAGAAGCGAAAGUGACGGUACCUGCAGAAGAAGCGCCGGCUAACUACGUGCCAGCAGCCGCGGUAAUACGUAGGGCGCAAGCGUUAUCCGGAAUUAUUGGGCGUAAAGAGCUCGUAGGCGGUUUGUCGCGUCUGCCGUGAAAGUCCGGGGCUCAACUCCGGAUCUGCGGUGGGUACGGGCAGACUAGAGUGAUGUAGGGGAGACUGGAAUUCCUGGUGUAGCGGUGAAAUGCGCAGAUAUCAGGAGGAACACCGAUGGCGAAGGCAGGUCUCUGGGCAUUAACUGACGCUGAGGAGCGAAAGCAUGGGGAGCGAACAGGAUUAGAUACCCUGGUAGUCCAUGCCGUAAACGUUGGGCACUAGGUGUGGGGGGACAUUCCACGUUUUCCGCGCCGUAGCUAACGCAUUAAGUGC